rnacentral:rRNA from 1 species
CCCGUAACGAGCGCAACCCUUGUCCUUAGUUACCAGCACGUUAUGGUGGGCACUCUAAGGAGACUGCCGGUGACAAACCGGAGGAAGGUGGGGAUGACGUCAAGUCAUCAUGGCCCUUACGGCCUGGGCUACACACGUGCUACAAUGGUCGGUACAAAGGGUUGCCAAGCCGCGAGGUGGAGCUAAUCCCAUAAAACCGAUCGUAGUCCGGAUCGCAGUCUGCAACUCGACUGCGUGAAGUCGGAAUCGCUAGUAAUCGCGAAUCAGAAUGUCGCGGUGAAUACGUU